rnacentral:rRNA from 1 species
UACAGAGGUGGCAAGCGUUGUUCGGAAUUACUGGGCGUAAAGGGCGCGUAGGCGGCCAUCUAAGUCAGACGUGAAAUCCCCGGGCUCAACCCGGGAACUGCGUCCGAUACUGGAAGGCUUGAAUCCGGGAGAGGGAUGCGGAAUUCCAGGUGUAGCGGUGAAAUGCGUAGAUAUCUGGAGGAACACCGGUGGCGAAGGCGGCAUCCUGGACCGGUAUUGACGCUGAGGCGCGAAAGCCAGGGGAGCAAACGGG